rnacentral:rRNA from 1 species
GGGGAGCGUUCUGUCAGCGGUGAAGGUCGAUCGUAAGGGCGACUGGAGCGGACAGAAGUGAGAAUGCAGGCAUGAGUAGCGUACAAACACGUGAGAACCGUGUUCGCCGUAAGUCUAAGGUUUCCGACGCCAGGUCAUUCCGCGUCGGGUUAGUCGAGUCCUUAGCCGAGGCCGAGAGGCGUAGGUGAUGGACAUCCGGUCAACAUUCCGGAACCACUUGGGAGUGCGAUGGGAGGACGCAACGAGGUAGGCCAGCCCAUUAUUGGAUUUGGGUUCGGAUCCAUCUAGGUGUUGAGAUUGGUAGGUAAAUACCGCCAGUUGAGCUGAGGUGGGAGCGGGCCGUAAGGCGAAGUGGCUGAGCCUUGUUGCCAACGAAAAGUCUCUAAGCAUAACUCUCUAGUGCUCGUACCGCAAACCGACACUGGUAGACGGGUA